AAAAAUAAGCUAAAUCAAGCCUUUGGGGCCAUACCCCAAAUAUAAAGGAAUAACCUUUUUUUUA
rnacentral:tRNA from 1 species